rnacentral:tRNA from 1 species
GGAGUAGUACUCAAGAGGCUGAAGAGGCGCCCCUGCUAAGGGUGUAGAUCGGGAAUACUGAUGCGAGAGUUCAAAUCUCUCCUACUCCGCCA